rnacentral:misc_RNA from 1 species
CCUGCAAACCAUUUUCGUGGGCCCUUUGCUCAAGUUCUAGUACAGUUGAAACAUCCUCGUCUAAUGGUCCUUCCUCUUGAAGCCGUAGUAUUUCAUCCAAAGCAAGAUCAACCUAUUAAGAAGUAUUGCACAACAGGGGAUUGACACUCAAUUGAAAUAUAUAAAUAAGUAAAUAAAUAAAAUGAAAAGAAAUGUUAUGGAAAGUCAAUAUUACAUUCCCAUUAGGUGUAUGAUUUAUAUUCCCAGAUCGGUAAGUUAUGAUUUAUAUUCCCAGAUCAGUAAGUUUCAUAUUCCUAAUUAAGUAAAGUAAUUAUAAGAGAUUUUUAUAUAAAUAUGUAAUUGCUUAUUUUAUAGAAGUAAUGAGACAAAAAAUAAAGAUAAAGCCCUUGGAGUUAUUUUCCUUCUUUUUCUUCUUCUAAUUCUUAAA